rnacentral:ncRNA from 1 species
GCCGUAAUUAAAAAUAACAGAUACCCUAGUGAAGAAGGGCUGUCACCCUGCUAGGACAUUCUUAGAGCAGUCUGUAUUAAGAAGGAUACCUUUUAAUAUAGGGCUUAAGUGACAUUAUAAUUAGUAAGUUUUACUUAUUAAAAAGAUGAAGCUUAAAGGUUACGGAAAGUACCAAUAGUUAGGAAUGGUGUAUCUAUACAGUUUAAUAUAAUGCCGCAACAGUGUGGGGAGAGUAAUAGACGCUUGAGAAGAGAAGAACCUUAAGUCUUAGUCCUGUGGUGGGAUUGAGCAGCUUAAGGAAUACCAACCAAUCUCCUUUGCUAUGAUGUUGUAGAAAUACAACUAUAACACACAGCAGCGGACAAGUAGCCCAUAGGCGUGAAAUGAUGAAACAGUAUGUUUAAAAUUGUUUAAAAUUCUGAAUGAUGGGUGAAAGUUGCAGGUAGAAAGUCCUGUCAUAGCAUUGGGGAGAAAUCCUGUGGUAAGAAGUUUAGAGGUCGCUCCUUUAAGCUCAGACUUAUCAUCUAUGUAGCAUAAUAAUAGCGAACUGUAUAGGAUAAGAUGAAGGUCUAUCUGUUUUAUUUUAU